GACGUAGGGCGCGAGCGUUGUCCGGAUUUAUUGGGCGUAAAGAGCUCGUAGGCGGCCUGUCGCGUCGACUGUGAAAACCCGCAGCUCAACUGCGGGACUGCAGCGAUACGGGCAGGCUAGAGUUCGGUAGGGGAGACUGGAAUUCCUGGUGUAGCGGUGAAAUGCGCAGAUAUCAGGAAGAACACCAACGGCGAAGGCAGCUCGCUGGGACGGUACUGACGCUGAGGCGCGAAAGCGUGGGGAGCGAACAGG
rnacentral:rRNA from 1 species